rnacentral:lncRNA from 1 species
GGACAGCCUGAUGAUGCGGUACCUGUACCGGCCCGAGAGCGACUAGUGCACCCCACCAGCUACUGGAAGUCCCUUGCCCCUGAUCGGUCAGAUGAUGAGCACGACCCUCUCGACAACACCUCCAGACCGCGAUACUCCCACAGUUAUCUGAGUGACAGCGACACAGAGGCCAAGCUGACGGAGACUAACGCAUAGCCCAGGGGAGUGGUUGGCAGCC